rfam:Cicer arietinum chromosome Ca8, whole genome shotgun sequence.
UAGCUAUUGUGAUAUUGGCUUGGUUCACUCAGACAAAAAAAUGUAACUUUUUUUUUUGUGAAAAGGUUUUGAUUUUGAUUGAGCCGUGCCAAUAUCUUAAUGCUAUUU